CUGAGGUUGACUGUGAGGUAACUGAAACCACGGAAAGCAAAACUGCCAACAAGAAUGAAUAGGGAGGACCACAAGACAUUUGUCACAUUCCACCAUAGCCUACUUCCAUAUUUGAGAGGUAUGUGGAUGUCAUGGUGGGUAUGUAAGUAUAAAGAUGACAUUGUGUCAUAUGCACAUAAAUAGUUAUUGGUCUUGACCUUUGACAUCAGUGUUUAUGGUUAAAUAAUCAGCCUCUUUCCACUGGCCCUCUAUCUCCUGCCCAGCGUGAUAGAUUUAAGAUGGAUCCAAGAGAAAAUAAACCCCUGACUUCAAGGUACACAUGGACAGGCAAGGCUAACUCACCUGAGGAAAAAUUAGAGAACAGCACAUUUCGAAUGUUCUAUUUUAUUAAAAGUAUAGUAAACUAAAUUUAAACACAAUGCUAUCCAGUGUACCUGUUUUCGAAUUUCAGCUUAUUUCAGUUGACUGGUCAGUUAUAUUUCAUACUUGUCCUCUUCUGUCUGCUGUAAUUCCUUAGAUGGCAAUAAUACUAUUGUUGAGAAAUUAUUCCCCUUCAAAGAUAUUUUUCUUUACAAAAGGGGUGGCAGAAAACCAUUAGAAGUCUGUUUUCCCCAGCAACCUUGUUUCAUGUAUAGAUUCUGAAUCUGUCUUCCAUCUCCCCUCUGACAAAGAGCUGUACAAAGUUCAUCAAUGGCAAAGUCAAUUGGGUUCUCGUUCUUUCUUAAAAAUAUCUCCUCUCCUCAGGGAUUCCUCAAGUUCCUGUCAAGAGCCACCUAGGGCAGCAAGACAUCUUUAGAUGUUUUCUUUCUAAGGGCAGAUAAUGUGUAUGUGACCAAAAGCUGGUGUUUACACAACAGGGGGCAGUGAGCAAAAUUAUCAAGUGGGUAAAAUUAGUCUCAGUCUUCUUCACUUCCCCUUUCUGAAGCUUCAUCCUUGCCCUCU
rnacentral:lncRNA from 10 species